rnacentral:lncRNA from 1 species
ACUCUCUCUUCUUUCUCCCAAAAUCCUACUCCUACCUCCAAAUUAAACUUCAAACAUCAUCCACUUCAUACUACAUCAAUUUUCCCAACACACGGCUCUUUUUUAUUUAUCUGUGAUUUUUGUUGGAUAGGAGAAUGAAGUUUUGUAUAGUACAAACCAGAAGACUAUUAUUACAAGCAAAUACAGAGACGACUACUACUACCACUUUGC